rnacentral:rRNA from 1 species
UACACUCCUGCGGGAGGCAGCAGUGGGGAAUAUUGCACAAUGGGCGCAAGCCUGAUGCAGCCAUGCCGCGUGUAUGAAGAAGGCCUUCGGGUUGUAAAGUACUUUCAGCGGGGAGGAAGGCAAUACGGUUAAUAACCGUGUUGAUUGACGUUACCCGCAGAAGAAGCACCGGCUAACUCCGUGCCAGCAGCCGCGGUAAUACGGAGGGUGCAAGCGUUAAUCGGAAUUACUGGGCGUAAAGCGCACGCAGGCGGUCUGUCAAGUCGGAUGUGAAAUCCCCGGGCUCAACCUGGGAACUGCAUUCGAAACUGGCAGGCUUGAGUCUUGUAGAGGGGGGUAGAAUUCCAGGUGUAGCGGUGAAAUGCGUAGAGAUCUGGAGGAAUACCGGUGGCGAAGGCGGCCCCCUGGACAAAGACUGACGCUCAGGUGCGAAAGCGUGGGGAGCGAACAGGAUUAGAAACCCUGGUAGUCCC